rnacentral:tRNA from 1 species
UAGUUCUGUCAGGAGAGUGCUUGCCUUGAAAGUAAGAGGGCCUGAGUUUGAUUCUCAG